GCACCCCUUCUUAACAGCUAGCCCACCCCUCAGAAAGCAACAAACAACAUUAAUAACCCCACACCCCCUAUAACCCCUAAAAUAAACCAUUCUUCCCCCCUAGUAUCGGCGACAGAAAAG
rnacentral:rRNA from 1 species